GGAUCAAUUUGCUGGUCGAGACCUCUGGUACGUACUGGUAAUAUUGAUUUCUUUCAUUCUGAAGAACCGCGAUGUCAUUAAUUUGGUGUCGUGGGGAAUCAGGACUGUUACUUUGAAAAAAUUAGAGUGUUUAAAGCAGGCUUACGCUUGAAUACAUUAGCAUGGAAUAAUGAAAUAGGACGUUUGAUUCUAUUUUGUUGGUUUCUAGGAUUGACGUA
rnacentral:rRNA from 1 species